rnacentral:rRNA from 1 species
UGGGGAAUAUUGGACAAUGGGCGCAAGCCUGAUCCAGCCAUGCCGCGUGAGUGAUGAAGGUCUUAGGAUUGUAAAGCUCUUUCACCGGAGAAGAUAAUGACGGUAUCCGGAGAAGAAGCCCCGGCUAACUUCGUGCCAGCAGCCGCGGUAAUACGAAGGGGGCUAGCGUUGUUCGGAUUUACUGGGCGUAAAGCGCGCGUAGGCGGUAUGUCAAGUCGGAUGUGAAAACCCAAGGCUCAACCAUGGAAGUGCAUUCGAAACUGGCAAACUAGAAUCUCGGAGAGGGUAGUGGAAUUCCUGGUGUAGAGGCGAAAUUCGUAGAUAUCAGGAAGAACAUCAGUGGCGAAGGCGACUACCUGGACGAAGAUUGACGCUGAGGUGCGAAAGCGUGGGGAUCAAACAGGAUUAGAUACCCGUGUAGUCCCUGAGCGGGCUGGCAAGGCGCAU